rnacentral:lncRNA from 1 species
UAUAUAUAAAUAUAUAUAUAGUCCGACUACUAUAUUUUUAUGAGUAUAAGUUUUAUUGUAUCAUAAAUUUUCGGUUGUUGGAUCUAUAUUGUUAAACAUUUUCACCCAUUAGAUUAUACUAUUCAAUCAAGCACCCACUCAAUUCUAAAAAACUACUAUCAUCCUAACUGCACAUUCUUCCAUCCAACGGCUGAAAAUUUAUAAGUACAAAGAGGCCUAUACUGAGUAUAGUAGCCCUAACUAUAUAUAUACUUGAUUUAGCAUAUUUGAAGUAUCUAGAAAAUAAUUUUUGCAAAUUUUCGAUAUCAUUUACCUAAUGAUCGAAAGGAUUCAAAAUCAAUAAUUUUUAAUGGUUGAUGUAUGUGGUUUGCAAGUUUAACGGUGUAGAAGUAUUCAAAUCAGAUGAAAAUUUGAUAGAAAAUUCUUUGUACUAUCUACAAUAAGAUCAAAAUGUCUGAUCGAAAAUUUUAGUACUAUAUCAUCACUUUUAAUGAGAUUUUUAUUUUCAACCGUUAAUUUUGAACCCUUUCGAUCGCUGGGUAAAUGAUAUCGAAAAAUCGCAAAAUUCAUUUUUUAAAUAGUUCAAAUAUGCUAGAUCAAGUUUAACGGAGCCGAUCGUCGCUUCCAAUAGCCUAUCAUAAAAAAUGGCUUAGGAGCACGAAGGCUUCCAUACUCCUAAUAGCACACAAGAUCUACUAUAUAUAUAUAUAUAUAUAUAUAUAUAUAUAUAUAUAUAUAUAU